AAUAUUAUUUGAGUGGCAUACUAAUUAAAUAUUAGAAAACUCAGGGUGGAAUAAAGAUGGGCACGCGCAAGAUUAGAUAGUUGGUAGGGUAACGGCCUACCAAGUCUACGAUCUUUAGGGGCCUGAGAGGGUGAUCCCCCACACUGGUACUGAGACACGGACCAGACUCCUACGGGAGGCAGCAGUGAGGAAUAUUGGACAAUGGGUGCAAGCCUGAUCCAGCCAUCCCGCGUGAAGGAAUAAGGACCUAUGGUUUGUAAACUUCUUUUAUACUGGGAUAAACCUACCCUCGUGAGGGUAGCUGAAGGUACAGUAUGAAUAAGCACCGGCUAACUCCGUG
rnacentral:rRNA from 1 species